GAUGAACGCUGGCGGCGUGCCUAAUACAUGCAAGUCGAGCGAACGGACGAGGAGCUUGCUCCUCUGAUGUUAGCGGCGGACGGGUGAGUAACACGUGGAUAACCUACCUAUAAGACUGGGAUAACUUCGGGAAACCGGAGCUAAUACCGGAUAAUAUAUUGAACCGCAUGGUUCAAUAGUGAAAGACGGUCUUGCUGUCACUUAUAGAUGGAUCCGCGCUGCAUUAGCUAGUUGGUAAGGUAACGGCUUACCAAGGCAACGAUGCAUAGCCGACCUGAGAGGGUGAUCGGCCACACUGGAACUGAGACACGGUCCAGACUCCUACGGGAGGCAGCAGUAGGGAAUCUUCCGCAAUGGGCGAAAGCCUGACGGAGCAACGCCGCGUGAGUGAUGAAGGUCUUCGGAUCGUAAAACUCUGUUAUUAGGGAAGAACAAAUGUGUAAGUAACUAUGCACAUCUUGACGGUACCUAAUCAGAAAGCCACGGCUAACUACGUG
rnacentral:rRNA from 1 species